UGGGGAAUUUUGGACAAUGGGCGAAAGCCUGAUCCAGCAAUGCCGCGUGUGUGAAGAAGGCCUUCGGGUUGUAAAGCACUUUUGUCCGGAAAGAAAUCCUUGGCUCUAAUACAGUCGGGGGAUGACGGUACCGGAAGAAUAAGCACCGGCUAACUACGUGCCAGCAGCCGCGGUAAUACGUAGGGUGCAAGCGUUAAUCGGAAUUACUGGGCGUAAAGCGUGCGCAGGCGGUUCUCAUAGACCGAUGUGAAAUCCCCGGGCUCAACCUGGGAACUGCAUUGGUGACUGGCAGGCUAGAGUAUGGCAGAGGGGGGUAGAAUUCCACGUGUAGCAGUGAAAUGCGUAGAGAUGUGGAGGAAUACCGAUGGCGAAGGCAGCCCCCUGGGCCAAUACUGACGCUCAUGCACGAAAGCGUGGGGAGCAAACAGGAUUAGAUACCCUGGUAGUCCACGCCCUAAACGAUGUCAACUAGUUGUUGGGGAUUCAUUUCCUUAGUAACGUAGCUAACGCGUGAAGUUGACCGCCUGGGGAGUACGGUCGCAAGAUUAAAACUUAAAGGAAUUGAC
rnacentral:rRNA from 1 species